rnacentral:rRNA from 1 species
CCUACGGGAGGCUGCAGUGGGGAAUAUUGGACAAUGGGGGGAACCCUGAUCCAGCCAUGCCGCGUGUGUGAAGAAGGCCCUCGGGUUGUAAAGCACUUUCAGUGAGGAAGAACGCCUGGUGGUUAAUACCCAUCAGGAAAGACAUCACUCACAGAAGAAGCACCGGCUAACUCCAUGCCAGCAGCCGCGGUAAUACGGAGGGUGCGAGCGUUAAUCGGAAUUACUGGGCGUAAAGCGCGCGUAGGUGGCUUGAUAAGCCGGUUGUGAAAGCCCCGGGCUCAACCUGGGAACGGCAUCCGGAACUGUGAAGCUAGAGUGCAGGAGAGGAAGGUAGAAUUCCCGGUGUAGCGGUGAAAUGCGUAGAGAUCGGGAGGAAUACCAGUGGCGAAGGCGGCCUUCUGGACUGACACUGACACUGAGGUGCGAAAGCGUGGGUAGCAAACAGGAUUAGAUACCCCGGUAGUC